rnacentral:rRNA from 1 species
AACGAACGCUGGCGGCAUGCCUAACACAUGCAAGUCGAACGAGACCUUCGGGUCUACUGGCGCACUGGUGCGUAACGCGUGGGAACCUGCCCUUAGAUUCGGAAUAACUCCCCGAAAGGGGUGCUAAUACCGGAUCAUGUCCUCGGACCGAAGAUUUAUCGACUUUGGGGGGGCCGGGGUUGUCUUAGCCUGUUGGUAGGGUAAACGCCUACCACGGCGACGACACAUAGCUGGUAUGAGAGGAAGAUCCGCGACACUGGGAGGGAGACACGGCCCAGACUAUUGGGGGAUGGAGGAGAGCGGAAUAUUGGAAAAUCGGGUAAAGGAUGAAGCAGCAAGGCCGGGAGAGUGAUGUAGGCCGGAGGGUAGUAAAGCACUUUUAUCCGGGAUGAUAAUGACGGUACCGGGAGAAUAAGCUCCGGCUAACUCCGUG